UACGGAAGGUUCGGGCGUUAUCCGGAUUUAUUGGGUUUAAAGGGAGCGUAGGCCGUUUGGUAAGCGUGUUGUGAAAUGUCGGGGCUCAACCUGGGCAUUGCAGCGCGAACUGCCAGACUUGAGUGCGCAGGAAGUAGGCGGAAUUCGUCGUGUAGCGGUGAAAUGCUUAGAUAUGACGAAGAACUCCGAUUGCGAAGGCAGCCUGCUGUAGCGCAACUGACGCUGAAGCUCGAAAGCGUGGGUAUCGAACAGG
rnacentral:rRNA from 1 species